CCCUGACCCUGACCCUGACCCUGACCCUAACCUUUCCCGUCUUCGUACACCAACACUUUGGUGGUGUCGUCCUUGUGUGGAGUCCGGUCAUUUGUGAAAGCUCGUUUUUUUGAUGUCGAGUUUUUUUGAGAGCUUAAACUUCAGUGCGCCCACCUGUGGCGAAGGCGUCUUGAGGGCUUGCGUAGCGGUUUCGUUUUAUAUGUUUGGCGGGGCAUGUUUGACCACGUCAACGCACUUUGUCGUUGAAAAGGGCUGGAAAAAAAAGCUGUUAAAAUACAAAAAAAGGGGUUAGGUUUUGGAUGUUUGAUGCGGAGGAAGAAGAGUGCAAUGUGGAAGAGGAUGGCCUAUGCAAUAAAUUGAAAAGAGGACAAUAGUAUGUAUAAUUUCUUUCGUUGGCGAGCAGCAGAAGCGUAGUCAGACGUAGUGGGAUUCUAGACGGGAAGGACGAGGCGGAGAAACUUUAGAGGAAAAAGGAAACAAGUGAGCCGCGUCUUAAUAAGGGAUGUAUUUGUGUAAUAUGUGGGGCCCACAUUAGAAUGCAUGCGGUGCGCGCUGCACGCAGGGAGAUCUGUACGAGCGUGCGCACGUACGCGCCACAUGGUUGUUAGCUCACGUGGAUGAGAGGGACGCUGCAAAGGGGAAACGAGCGCAUGGACGCAUCACACAGACAUGGGUUGGCACAGUGAGUAUGGUAUGCGCGUCGACGGGGCAUGUGGAAGUUUGAAGUGAGCAUCCAUUCACUGCGCUCAAAGUACAGCUGGAAGCCGUCACGAAACCUGUACUGAUAUGUGUGAAGUAGUGAGAGGCACAUCACGUUAUCCAGAUGUUUUGAUCACAAGAUGAAUCGCCUUGUUUUUGCAUACCCCCACAGCAUUUUAACCGCCUUUGAGGCAGCCCGCCACCCCCCUCAGCCGCCCCCUACUGCGGCAGAUGGGGGUAUGGAGGUGUCACCCGAUUAGUCCGCUUUUGCCCGUCGAUGUGCGCACUGGAGUGGCCAACGGAACAUGGACACACCACACAGGUGAGAUUGACGUAGGAUUCACAUUCACCAUCAUCGAUGCAAGGGCACUGUCGCAUUGGGUGCGCACGAUAGGUGGGGCGCAUGGGCUUUGCCAACUUGCGCUGUGGAUGGCGGAGAGGCGGCCUUCGUUUUGUGGUGCCCGAACGGGCCCCAUCGAUGCGGAAAAGGCCGUCGUCACUUGAUGCAGACGGCGGCGUUACGAACGUCGAUGCUGGCACAAACUACGGGAGCUUACCGCCGUUGACGACGGCCAUGGAAUGAAUCCUGUUGCCCCACACAUGUGGAUAAGAUGAUUGCGGAGGGCUGUAGGUAUGGCUUUUUCCGGCACGCAAACUGAGAUGGGACUGCACGUCUGCCCGCAGGAAAGAGAUUUUUUUUUCGUGAAGGGGAAAGAAGAAGGCCCCCCCCUCCGACCUUUGUUGGCAUGGCCUUGGUUCAAUGCACUCCUAGGUUGCUGUAUUCUGCAUGGUCAAGGAACUGAUGGGAAAAACG
rnacentral:misc_RNA from 1 species